rnacentral:piRNA from 1 species
UUUCAACUACAACAUUUAAUA